UAUGCCACACUGACUCUUGUAGAACCUUGGUGUGGUGGCUCUGCAUUUGAUGUCACCAACAGCCAUUGCUUAGCAACGAAAUGUGCGUCCGUUUGAGCUGAGGUUCUUGAGGUUCUUGUAUCCUCAGCACGUACAGGGUUUAGAGAGAUCUGCUGUGGUGAUCUUUGCUUAUUUUGUUGACAAGAUGGCAUCUGACAAACUUCUGGCUCCCUCCCUGGAACUUCCAACAUCCAUGUUGGGUCCACUGGUGGCAGUUUCAUGCCUUUGUGCCUUGGGUCCUGACAUGGAAUGCCACCAGCAGGCUGCACAAACCCUCUGAAAUAUCCUGCCCAGGAAAGAAGUACAGAUCACCUGCAGUGGCCACAAACCAGCAAGGUCAACAUCAGAGGAUCUGGAACUACAACCAUCCUCUGCGUAAGACAGCAACUCCGGAAACAGAAGAUUCCAUGAACGGCUGUUAUCUGCGAAAGAGACCCACUGCUUAUGCCAAGUAGACACCUCUGCCCUCGAACCAAAAAAUUGUGGUGACUUCGAUACCUUGAUAUACAACUGUUAACACCUCCAGCCUUUGUUUAUCUCGCAUCAAUUGCCCACUUUUGCCAGUGGCACACACACACAUGAGCAUGUCUUCCCCCAUUCUGCCGGACCCGCAUGUCAGCAAUUGCACAUCAAUUGGACGCUCCUCAAAUGGUUGGUGCUAUUUUCCAGAACACUGAUUGUAUGUGUGUAUGUAUGCUCUUGUUGACCAUUUUUUAUUAUUAUUUCAGGGUUCUAGUUUUUUUUGCCAAAUCUUUUUUAUUGAUUUUCAAUUUUUUUUUACGAACCGGCCACCAACUGAAAGAAAUUUAACAUUUUUCCAAAGAAAAACCAGUUUAACAUUUUUCCAAAUCUGACUUCCUGCACACCCUCCUGGAUAUGUCAAUAGUUCUUAGUGCUGCAUCAUAUUCCCCAAUUAUUUCUAGUUUGCCUUCAAACAUUACAAAUAACCUUCCAGUACAUUAUAUUUUAUUUUAAAAAACAACAACUCCUUUUCAAACAGCUAUCCAUCAAUCAAUUCCUGCACAUAUAUUAAAUUAACAUUUCCAAUUUCAGGGAGUGAGGUUACUUAUCAGAUUAUCAGUCCCUGCUGAAUUAUUGAACAAUAUUAUAUAACAUUAAAUAAAAAUUCCUCUCCUUUCAUCUGCGUGUAUAAUCUUCUUGCUGCUCAACUCCCUUGUCCCUCGUCGCAUUUAAACGGGGGUCUUUUUCUUUUCUUUUUUACAGCAGGAACUCAAAGGUCGACCAUCUCGCUUGGUGCAUUUUCCAACCAUCCCAUAAUUGGCGGCGGCGGGGCGGGGCGGGGCGCGGUAACCACUUUCUCCUUCACAGUUCAAGUUCUUAUUACAGCCUCUCCCCGUGAUCCGAGGCACUCGAGCAGAUUUGCCCCACCGUUAGACUUUCCAGUUCUCUGUGCAAAAAAAUCUGCUCCUUUCUGGCCGGUUUGCUUUUAAUUCCUCCAUCAUAAAUUGUCCAACGAUCCAAAUUUUAAUUUGCUUCCUUAUAGUUCAUUAAUACUUUUGUCGUCCUUUAAUCCCAUCAAUCUGAAACCUCCGGGUAUAGGGCGGUAUAUAAAAUUCAAUCAAUCA